rnacentral:rRNA from 1 species
GACGAACCGAGCGAACGUUGUUCGGAAUCACUGGGCUUAAAGGGCGCGUAGGCGGGUGCUCAAGUCCGUGGUGAAAUCCUCCGGCUCAACCGGAGAACUGCCUCGGAUACUGGGUGCCUCGAGGGUGGUAGGGGUAUGCGGAACUAUCGGUGGAGCGGUGAAAUGCGUUUGAUAUCGAUAGGAACUCCGGUGGCGAAGGCGGCAAUACUGGACCACCUCUGACGCUGAGGCGCGAAAGCCAGGGAGCAAACGGGAUU